rnacentral:lncRNA from 1 species
GUUGUUCUGCCUUUCUGGGUAGAACCAACGUAUUUCUUAAAUGUAUUUGAAGUCUCAUGUCUUCCUAAAAUGUAUAAAACCAAGUGGCACCCCUACCACCUCGGGCACAUGUUCUCAGGAUUUCCUGAGGGCUGUGUCAUUGGCCAUGGUCGUUCAUAUUUGAAUCAAAAUAAAUCUCUUCAAAUAUUGUACAGAGUUUGACUAUUUUCAUCAACAAUUAUCUGGCAUCCAAUGCGGCAUCCAUUCUCUCUUCCAGAGAAGACUUGGGACCCUCAAGGAGUUGCCCAAACUUGGAGCUAAGGUACCAGCAUGGGCCCACUGAAAGCCUCUCCAGCUUCAAGCUUCUCAUAUGGUGGAACUGUGUCCUGCCCUUCCCAGCCUGGUACCUUGGCCCUUCAGUUUCUGAAAACUGUCCAAAGGACCUGCAUAUUGUUAAGAAGAGCUACGAAAUGUACCAGAGAGAAAGAUCAGGUGAGCUGGUGCCUAAUUCAUUACUGUGAGGUCUCCUCUCUCGGACACUUGUGAUGUCCUGGUCGUCAGUGCUGUGAACUGUGAGAUCAGAACCAAGUAGAGAGAAUGAAAGAUCAAGUUAGAGAUAUUUCAAGCAAGGAUAGAAGGCAGGGAGCAAAGCAUAUAUGGGCUCGAGACUUAUAAUAAGGAACAGCAGGACAAGCACAGAGGCGUUCUUGGAUUGUUGGCUUUAGAGGUCCUGUCAAUUAUAUUCUACUGCUCCAGAGAAUGAAAAUUGCUUAAAAUUGGCUUCUUAAGCAGAGUUUACAAACUGGCAGCUCCAGCUUGCGUCUGUUUUGCAGACCUGAUUUAGAUGGCCGGCAUACUUUUCAAUAAAACGUAUUUCAGUUAGUUACCAACAUUUAAAGAACUGAAGAACAUUUCAUAUAAACAUUUUGAUUUGGAGCCAAUCUUGAAAAACUGAAUAAUUCAGCAGUCUUGGCCCAAAUUGCCAGCCAGCAACACUGAGCUGGAGCUGAAUACUGGCUGCCCCUUUGGAAAAGACAUAUUGUUUCCCAGUUUGCCACAAUCCCUACCCUGCUUGCUUCUCUCCUUUAUGUUACCUGUCUGGCCUUGUCAACAUUUGAAUUUACAACUCUGAUCAUUACAAUUUUUCUGUUAUGCAAACUGUC